UGAUUCUAUGACACUUGCUCUGUCCUUCUCACACUCACACCUCCCAUCCUGCCCCGUGUACUUCCACCAGAUCUACACAACUGGAAUAUCAGAUAUUAGGAAAAAAUUCUUCCCUAGCUGUCUCCAUUUCAGUUCUAGGGAAGACAGUUGGACUCAGAGGUCAGUGCCACUCCAGGACCAGCAGGAUGCACAAAACCCGAGGGCUGGAUUUUUGAGGAGCAACAUUGGAACAACUGAUGGUGCUGCCCAGGGAACUGCUCAGCAAACUGGGAUAUUUAAAGCCAGCUGUCUGGAGACCCUGCUCUGCUUGCAUUGACCAGAAAAGAUCCCUUUUCCAGACGCUUGCAAUAUCAUCCCUGAUUUUUUUCCAUGCCCUGUAAGCUCUGAAAAUGCAAAGGAUACCCAGGAAAGCUGCCAUGGUUCACUUGUGUGGGAUGAAAUGGCAGAGAAAAAGGGUUUUCUGAGGAGGGGACACCAAAGAUUCAGGGAAGGCUUCUCCAAGCCAGCAGCCAAGAGGCAGAUUCCAAAACUGAGGAAUUGCAUCUCCUUGACCCCCAGGUUGUUCUGCUCCAUUGAUCUGGGAUGCUUUGGUCUUGAAGUUCCCUCCUCAGCCAGAUGCUGCUUUUUAAAGAUUUCCAUUUGCAGCUUAAAAAUAUAGGAAUAUUGAAGUGAGGG